UUCAAGCUUGUCUCUCGAAGAACAACUUUCUCCCGCAAAAGUGCCUUAAAGUAAUUAAAUUGCUGGACUCCUGCUGCUCAAGAUGUGAUUAUAAUUCAACUCACUGUGCUUCGCUCUCUGGACUAUUGAAGCAAAAUUCCAAAUUACAAGACUCGGCCAAGUAAUUGGAUAAGUAGUUGAGGAUACAACGACUUAUUUCUAGUCAAGACUAUUGUUUCUAUUUUGAGUGUGUUUUUUUUUCUUUGAUAAUGAUACAAUUUAGAUUAGGGAGGUACACCCUCCAUGUAAAUGUAGAGAGAAUCACCAACCUCGAAUAACAGUGGAAUUCACAUAUACUUACCAAUUGUAGAAUUUGAAAAUCGACUGAUGAAGAAGCUUCUGUUAUUCUUGAAACUCAAUUGGGUUCAAAAAAUAUGAGAUACCAAGAAGCAUGAGCUGAUACAGAGAAUCUAGAACAAUUCGCGUCUUCCAAACAACAGCUGAAUAAAUAUAACUAAAUAGCUAGAAAUGUUGGGCAACCUUGUCACACCCAUUCUAAGGGUGCCCCCUCCGUAGGCCUCUAGUGUAAUCGUUUUAAAUAAUUGUUAUGUUUCAUUUCUUUCUU